AUACUGUCUCCAGCAUCCUUGGGCAUGUGAGACUCUGCAUCUUAAGGAGUUUGGCUUCCUACCUCGAUCGCCAUUUAUGAAUUCCCACAGCAGUCCUGAUGGAGUUCUGGUGGAGUGAUCGGGUGAGCAAGGCAUAGGCAGCCCAGCUACCUCAUGCCACACACUCUUCAGAGAGAAGGAAGUGGGCGCAGAGGUCUGCCCAUGAAGAGAUCCCAUCCAUGGAUUGGACACUGUCAAAGUGGGGAGGUUUGGAAAAAAAAUCAGAUGUGGAAAUAUAAACAGCCAGCAUUCCAAAUUCCCUCUGUGUUGUGCACUUGUCCUCUCCUGUGCUCUCUUAAAAAGACUCUCAAACACCAUCUGCUCAAGGACAUUCAAGGUCAAACAGAAUGAAUGUGCUUCUGCUCAAAGUGGCUCCAUCACCUUUGUCUCUCCCCGACGUAGGCUGGAUUCCGAGUCACUGUGUGGAUGCAACUGUCAGCAAAAUCAACUUCGCAAAGAACUUUCUGUAAGGAACCCAACCUCAGCAGACGAAAACUGUCUCUGACCAGGGCGCUCCAAGAGGAAGUCGAGUGCAGAACAGAUGGCCAAGUCUCCCUGUUCUAGUCUUGAGAUGAAGCAAGCGCUUUGUCGAG
rnacentral:lncRNA from 1 species